AUUGAACGCUGGCGGCAGGCCUAACACAUGCAAGUCGAACGGUAGCACAGAGAGCUUGCUCUCGGGUGACGAGUGGCGGACGGGUGAGUAACGUCUGGGAAACUGCCCGAUGGCGGGGGAUAACUACUGGAAACGGUAGCUAAUACCGCAUAACGUCGCAAGACCAAAGUGGGGGACCUUCGGGCCUCACACCCACGGAAGUGCCCAGAGGGGAUUAGCUAGUAGGUGGGGUAAUGGCUCACCUAGGCGACGAACCCUAGCUGGUCUGAGAGGAUGACCAGCCACACUGGAACUGAGACACGGUCCAGACUCCUACGGGAGGCAGCAGUGGGGAAUAUUGCACAAUGGGCGCAAGCCUGAUGCAGCCAUGCCGCGUGUAUGAAGAAGGCCUUCGGGUUGUAAAGUACUUUCAGCGGGGAGGAAGGCGGUGAAGUUAAUAACUUCACCGAUUGACGUUACCCGCAGAAGAAGCACCGGCUAACUCCGUGCCAGCCGCCGCGGUAA
rnacentral:rRNA from 1 species